UACAGAGGUCCCGAGCGUUGUUCGGAUUUACUGGGCGUAAAGGGUGCGUAGGCGGUGGGGUAAGUUUGAGGUGAAAGCUCCGGGCUCAACCCGGAAAAUGCCUUGAAAACUAUCCGGCUAGAGGGUUGGAGGGGAGACUGGAAUUCUCGGUGUAGCAGUGAAAUGCGUAGAUCUCGAGAGGAACACCAGUGGCGAAGGCGGGUCUCUGGACAACACCUGACGGCUGAGGCACGAAAGCCAGGGGAGCAAACGGG
rnacentral:rRNA from 1 species